rnacentral:rRNA from 1 species
AACUCAAGUGGCGGACGGGUGAGUAACACGUAAGAAUUUGCCUUUAGGAGGGGGACAACAACUGGAAACGGUUGCUAAUACCCCAUAUGCUUUCGAGUGAAAUGGAUUUUUCCGCCUAGAGAGAAGCUUGCGGCUGAUUAGCUUGUUGGUGAGGUAAUGGCUCACCAAGGCGACGAUCAGUAUCUGGUUUGAGAGGAUGAUCAGACACACUGGAACUGAGACACGGUCCAG